rnacentral:snoRNA from 1 species
UUAUGAUGAGCCUUUUUAGAUGACGAGUCUGAACCGUCUCAGUAAGGCUUCCUUACUGGGGCGCCCAUGACGACUCCAAUCAAUAUACCAUUCAUGCUUUUCUGAAU